rnacentral:rRNA from 1 species
UGGAGAGUUUGAUCCUGGCUCAGGAUGAACGCUAGCGGGAGGCCUAACACAUGCAAGCCGAGCGGUAUUUAUUCUUCGGAAUAGAGAGAGCGGCGUACGGGUGCGUAACACGUGUGCAACCUACCUUUAUCAGGGGAAUAGCCUUUCGAAAGGAAGAUUAAUACUCCAUAAUAUAUGAACAGGCAUCUGAUUGUAUUGAAAACUCCGGUGGAUAGAGAUGGGCACGCGCAAGAUUAGAUAGUUGGUGAGGUAACGGCUCACCAAGUCUGUGAUCUUUAGGGGUCCUGAGAGGGAGAUCCCCCACACUGGUACUGAGACACGGACCAGACUCCUACGGGAGGCAGCAGUGAGGAAUAUUGGACAAUGGGUGAAAGCCUGAUCCAGCCAUCCCGCGUGAAGGAUGACGGUCCUAUGGAUUGUAAACUUCUUUUGUAUAGGGAUAAACCAUUCUACGUGUAGAAUGCUGAAGGUACUAUACGAAUAAGCACCGGCUAACUCCGUGCCAGCAGCCGCGGU